rnacentral:rRNA from 1 species
GUAGGGUGCAAGCGUUAAUCGGAAUUACUGGGCGUAAAGCGAGCGCAGGCGGUUAUUUAAGUCAGGUGUGAAAGCCCCGAGCUCAACUUGGGACGUGCAUUUGAAACUGGAUAACUAGAGUGUGUCAGAGGGGGGUAGAAUUCCACGUGUAGCAGUGAAAUGCGUAGAGAUGUGGAGGAAUACCGAUGGCGAAGGCAGCCCCCUGGGAUAACACUGACGCUCAUGCUCGAAAGCGUGGGUAGCAAAC